rnacentral:rRNA from 1 species
GAUGAACGCUGGCGGCGUGCCUAAUACAUGCAAGUCGAGCGAACAGAUAAGGAGCUUGCUCCUUUGACGUUAGCGGCGGACGGGUGAGUAACACGUGGGUAACUUACCUAUAAGACUGGAAUAACUCCGGGAAACCGGGGCUAAUGCCGGAUAACAUGUUGAACCGCAUGGUUCUACAGUGAAAGGCGGCUUUGCUGACACUAAUAGACGGACCCGCGCCGUAUUAGCUAGUUGGUGAGGUGACGGCUCACCAAGGCAACGAUACGUAGCCGACCCGAGAGGGUGAUGGCCCACACGGGAACUGAGGCGCGGCCCAUACUCCGGCGGGAGGCAACAGUAGGGGAUCUUCGGCAAUGGACGAAUGCCUAACGGAGCAACGCGGCGUGAGUGAUGAAAGUCUUCGGAUCGUAAAACUCUGUUAUUAGGGAAGAACAAAUGCUUAAGUAACUGUGCGCAUCUUGACAGUACCUAAUCAGAAAGCCACGGCUAACUACGUG